CCUACGAGUGGCAGCAGUGAGGAAUAUUGGUCCAUGGGCGCGAGCCUGAACCAGCCAAGUAGCGUGAAGGAUGACUGCCCUACGGGUUGUAAACUUCUUUUAUAAAGGAAUAAAGUGAGGCACGUGUGCCUUUUUGUAUGUACUUUAUGAAUAAGGAUCGGCUAACUCCGUGCCAGCAGCCGCGGUAAUCCGGAGGAUCCGAGCGUUAUCCGGAUUUAUUGGGUUUAAAGGGAGCGUAGAUGGGUUGUUAAGUCAGUUGUGAAAGUUUGCGGCUCAACCGUAAAAUUGCAAUUGAUACUGGCAGUCUUGAGUACAGUUGAGGUAGGCGGAAUGCGUGGGGUAGCGGUGAAAUGCUUAGAUAUCACGAAGAACUCCGAUUGCGAAGGCAGCUUACUAAACUGCCACUGACAUUGAUGCUCGAAAGUGUGGGUAUCAAACAGGAUUAGAUACCCGAGUAGUC
rnacentral:rRNA from 1 species